GACGAACGCUGGCGGCGUGCCUAAUACAUGCAAGUCGAGCGGACUUGACAGAGCUUGCUCUGUUCAAGUUAGCGGCGGACGGGUGAGUAACACGUGGGCAACCUGCCCUGCAGAUUGGGAUAACUCCGGGAAACCGGGGCUAAUACCGAAUAACAUUGAAAACCUCAUGGUUUUCUUUUAAAAGUAGGAUUUCUACACAAAUGGAUGAGUUUAUGGCGCAUUAGUUAGUUGGUGGGGUAACGGCCUACCAAGACGAUGAUGCGUAGCCGACCUGAGAGGGUGACCGGCCACACUGGGACUGAGACACGGCCCAGACUCCUACGGGAGGCAGCAGUAGGGAAUUUUCGGCAAUGGGCGCAAGCCUGACCGAGCAACGCCGCGUGAGUGAUUAAGGCCUUCGGGUUGUAAAGCUCUGUUGUAAGGGAAGAACAUUCAGGAUAGGAAAUGAUCUUGAACUGACGGUACCUUACCAGAAAGCCACGGCUAACUACGUGCCAGCCGCCGCAGUAAUAC
rnacentral:rRNA from 1 species